UUAACUCAAAUUUAUAUGCAGUUGGUACAGCGCCCCUAGCGGCAAACUUAGGCAACCGUUCCAACUCCAUACAAAUUUAAGUUA
rnacentral:pre_miRNA from 1 species